rnacentral:rRNA from 1 species
UACGAAGGGGGCUAGCGUUGCUCGGAAUCACUGGGCGUAAAGCGCACGUAGGCGGCUUUCUAAGUCAGGGGUGAAAUCCUGGAGCUCAACUCCAGAACUGCCUUUGAUACUGGAGAGCUAGAGUCCGGAAGAGGUGAGUGGAACUGCGAGUGUAGAGGUGAAAUUCGUAGAUAUUCGCAAGAACACCAGUGGCAAAGGCGGCUCACUGGUCCGGUACUGACGCUGAGGUGCGAAAGCGUGGGGAGCAAACAGG